UACGGAGGGGGCGAGCGUUAUUCGGAAUUAUUGGGCGUAAAGGGCGCGUAGGCGGCUUGACAAGUCAAAGGUGAAAUCCCUCGGCUCAACUGAGGAACCGCCUUUGAAACUGUCUGGCUUGAGGCCGGGAGGGGGUAGCGGAAUUCCCAGUGUAGCGGUGAAAUGCGUAGAUAUUGGGAGGAACACCAGUGGCGAAGGCGGCUACCUGGACCGGUUCUGGACGCUGAGGUGGCGAAAGCGUGGGGAGCAAAGCAGG
rnacentral:rRNA from 1 species